rnacentral:rRNA from 1 species
CAGCAGCCACGGUAACACAGAGGGUGCGAGCGUUAAUCGGAUUUACUGGGCGUAAAGCGUGCGUAGGCGGCUAAUUGAGUCGGAUGUGAAAUCCCCGAGCUUAACUUGGGAAUUGCAUUCGAUACUGGUUAGCUAGAGUGUGGGAGAGGAUGGUAGAAUUCCAGGUGUAGCGGUGAAAUGCGUAGAGAUCUGGAGGAAUACCGAUGGCGAAGGCAGCCAUCUGGCCUAACACUGACGCUGAGGUACGAAAGCAUGGGGAGCAAACAGGAUUAGAUACCCGCGUAGUCCCUGUCUCUUAUAA